AUGAAAAGUGCCAAUAUAAAUAAAGUGUUUCUCACUUAUUUACAGUAUUUUGUAACCAAGAUAUGUUUCCCUUCUGUCUUGUUUGUUUUUCUCCCUGCAACUUCAGAACUCCAAAUACAUGCUCACGUGGCUGAUGACGACGUCAGAGAUCACUGGAGAACUGAUGUUAAUAUCUCUGCACGGGAGGCUGUAGUCACUUACUUUACGGCUUUCGGGGGUGAGCAUGUGCUCUUCCGAGACGGCAUGGAGACUGAUGAGGGCUUCGACAUUUUUGGAAAUCGUAUCACACUCCAAAAGUCAACGCUCCAAAAGUCAACUUUCAGCAUCAGCAAAGCGCAGCCAAGUGACGCAGGACGAUACGAGAUCCAUGACAAGAAUGGACAUCUGGCCAUCUCACUGUAUCUGGAGAGAGACCCUGAGUUUGAUCUUAAGAGUUUAGCCACUCCCCUUGGCAUAUCUGCGGGCGUGCUGGCAGGACUGCUGUGCUGUUGCUGGUGCUGUUGCAAGUGCUGUAGUGAUGACGACGGUGACAAGACUGAGUCCGCCGCUGCUUCUCCAGACACCGAGCAACUCGCCCACGUCCAUGAUCCCAGUGAGAUGUCUGGACCCGGCGACCCCUUGCAACCUCCAUCAUCUGCUCCCUCUUCAGGUGACACCAAUGAACUAACGGCCUCCAUGGCGUACCCCCCCAACCCCUGGGAGAACAGUCCACCUGUAAGUCCAGCCAUCAGCACGCACGCACGCACUCACGCACACACACACACACAUCUCUUCAGAUCUCUAGUCCAGCCAUCAGCGCACACGUUUGUUAUUUGUAAUAUUUGUUCUUUUGGCAAAUUCAAUUCAAUUCAAGUCAAUUCAAUUCAAGUCAAUUACAUUCAAUUACAUUCAAUUACAUUUAAAAAAAAUUAUAUUAUCAUUAUAUUUUUCAAAUCCAAAGUGACUUGCAAAUGUUUUCAGUUGAGGAGGUCGUAAUAUGUCCACAUACUGUAUGUAUGCAACAAGGCUGGAUUAGGGCAAGCAGCACACUUGGUGUACCCACCCUGUUUUCUCUGUCUCCUUACAGGCUCCUGAUGGAGGAGGAGGAGGUGAUCGUGGUGCUCCCACCGCCCCUUGGGCACCCACCGACCCUGGGCCGCGGUACCAGUCGAGAGCCUGGGGUAGUGGCCAGGAUGACUUUCUCUCCAGCUCUCCUCUCUGCAUGGACAGCGCCACCGACAGCUGCACCUUCACCUCAAACAAUCUCAACUUCUAGACCGAUGCGUUCCGUUGACAACUCUGGAUCGAUGGAGCAUUUUCACACGCAGUGCACUGUGACUUGUGUUGCGUCCUACUGACUGGUACGCUGUGAUUUGGACGCGUAGUUUCACGCUCAAAGGCAACGCGCACUACCUCAUUUGCACUGGGCCUGUUCUGCUGCAGUGCUGGAGUGGAUCUGUCAAUACCACAGACUCUCACGCCAUCCAAAGGGCCACCUUCUUUCUUUGACCUGUUACUCUGUGUCUAAUGUCUGUGAGUCUGUUCGUGUCUGCUAGUGUCUUAUGUCCCUAUCUCAUGUAAGUAGGCCAUUUCAUGUAUCCUUUUCUUAGCUUGCUAGAAUUGGUAGCAAUGCAAGUCUGUGUUAUUUUACAUAUUUAUCACACAGGAUUGUAAUGUUCUUACUGCCUGAUCAGGUCUAAUGUCAUUCACAAGCCUUGGUGUUUUUUUGUGUCUUUUUAUGUAUGCGAUUUUAUCUCACUUUGUUGUCAAUUUUUUUACUUUUAAAAUGGUGGAUAAUGAAAAGACAUUUUCAGUCCCAAACGUGCUCUAAAUACCCAUGUAAGGCCUUCAGUAUCCAAAGGUGGCCUUAUCCUAUCUCAGUGCAAUUAAUCAUGUUCUUGUUUAUUUCUGUUUAUACUGUAACACCCUGAAACCAUUAUGCCAUUACUAUGUUUACAAAUAACCACUAACCAUUACUAUGUUUACAAAUUACUAU
ensembl:lncRNA